CAAUAGCGUAUAUUAAAGUUGUUGCGGUUAAAAGCUCGUAGUUGGAUUUCUGUCGAAGGCGGCCGGUCCGCACUAUGUGCGUGUAUCUGGUUCGGUUUUGGCAUCCUCUUGGGGAACGUUUCUGUGCUUGAUUGCAUGGGGCGGGGAGUUCAAGACUUUUACUUUGUAGGAAAUUAGAGUGUUCACGGCAAGCUUUCGCUUUGAAUACAUUAGCAUGGAAUAAUAAUAUAGGGCGUAAGUUCUAUUUUGUUGGUUUCUAGGACAUACGCAAUGAUUAAUAGGGACAAUUGGGGGCAUUCGUAUUAACGCGUCAGAGGUGGAAUUCUUAGAUUGCGUUACGACGAACUACUGCGAAAGCAUUUGCCAAGGAUGUUUUCAUUGAUCAAGAACGAAAGUAAUGGGGA
rnacentral:rRNA from 1 species